UACGGAGGGGGCUAGCGUUGUUCGGAAUUACUGGGCGUAAAGCGCACGUAGGCGGCUUGGAAAGUUGGAGGUGAAAGCCCGGAGCUCAACUCCGGAAUUGCCUUCGAAACUCCCAGGCUAGAGUUCGGAAGAGGAGAGUGGAAUUCCCGAGUGUAGAGGUGGAAUUCGUAGAUAUUGGGAAGAACACCAGUGGCGAAGGCGGCUCUCUGGUCCGAAACUGACGCUGAGGUGCAAAAGCGUGGGGAGCAAACA
rnacentral:rRNA from 1 species